rnacentral:rRNA from 3 species
GUAAAGCACUUUCAGUUGUGAGGAAAAGUUAGUAGUUAAUACCUGCUAGCCGUGACGUUAACAACAGAAGAAGCACCGGCUAACUCCGUGCCAGCAGCCGCGGUAAUACGGAGGGUGCGAGCGUUAAUCGGAAUUACUGGGCGUAAAGCGCACGCAGGCGGUUUGUUAAGCUAGAUGUGAAAGCCCCGGGCUCAACCUGGGAUGGUCAUUUAGAACUGGCAGACUAGAGUCUUGGAGAGGGGAGUGGAAUUCCAGGUGUAGCGGUGAAAUGCGUAGAUAUCUGGAGGAACAUCAGUGGCGAAG